rnacentral:tRNA from 1 species
GGAUGGAUGUCUGAGCGGUUGAAAGAGUCGGUCUUGAAAACCGAAGUAUUUAGAAUACCGAGGGUUCGAAUCCCUCUCCAUCC